AGUAAUGUAUGGGGAUCUGCCUGAUGGCGGGGGAUAACUACUGGAAGCGGUAGCUAAUACCGCAUAAUGUCUACGGACCAAAGCGGGGGACCUCCGGGCCUCGCGCCAUCAGAUGAACCCAUAUGGGAUUAGCUAGUAGGUGAGGUAACGGCUUACCUAGGCGACGAUCCCUAGCUGGUCUGAGAGGAUGAUCAGCCACACUGGGACUGAGACACGGCCCAG
rnacentral:rRNA from 1 species